CGGGUGAGUAAUGUCUGGGAAACUGCCUGAUGAGGGGGAUAACUACUGGAAACGGUAGCUAAUACCGCAUAACGUCGCAAGACCAAAGAGGGGGACCUUCGGGCCUCUUGCCAUCGGAUGUGCCCAGAUGGGAUUAGCUAGUAGGUGGGGUAAUGGCUCACCUAGGCGACGAUCCCUAGCUGGUCUGAGAGGAUGACCAGCCACACUGGAACUGAGACACGGUCCAG
rnacentral:rRNA from 1 species